rnacentral:rRNA from 1 species
UACGGGGGGGGCAAGCGUUGUUCGGAAUUACUGGGCGUAAAGGGCUCGUAGGCGGCCAACUAAGUCAGACGUGAAAUCCCCCGGCUUAACCUGGGAACUGCGUCUGAUACUGGACGGCUUGAGUAUGGGAGAGGGAUGUAGAAUUCCAGGUGUAGCGGUGAAAUGCGUAGAUAUCUGGAGGAAUACCGGUGGCGAAGGCGGCAUCCUGGACCAUUACUGACGCUGAGGCGCGAAAGCCAGGGGAGCAAACGGG